rnacentral:rRNA from 1 species
GAUGAACGCUAGCUACAGGCUUAACACAUGCAAGUCGAGGGGCAGCAUGGUCUUAGCUUGCUAAGGCCGAUGGCGACCGGCGCACGGGUGAGUAACACGUAUCCAACCUGCCGUCUACUCUUGGACAGCCUUCUGAAAGGAAGAUUAAUACAAGAUGGCAUCAUGAGUCCGCAUGUUCACAUGAUUAAAGGUAUUCCGGUAGACGAUGGGGAUGCGUUCCAUUAGAUAGUAGGCGGGGUAACGGCCCACCUAGUCUUCGAUGGAUAGGGGUUCUGAGAGGAAGGUCCCCCACAUUGGAACUGAGACACGGUCCAAACUCCUACGGGAGGCAGCAGUGAGGAAUAUUGGUCAAUGGGCGCAGGCCUGAACCAGCCAAGUAGCGUGAAGGAUGACUGCCCUAUGGGUGGUAAACUUCUUUUAGAAAGGAAUAAAGUCGGGUAUGGAUACCCGUUUGCAUGUACUUUAUGAAUAAGGAUCGGCUAACUCCGUG